UAUCCGUCGGGGAACCAGCGGAUGGAUCAUUAAAGGAAAAAUUUGCUAAAUUUUUGGCAAAAAAUUAAACAUUAUUGAAUGAUGAAGCUUUUAAAUAUGAAAAGUGAAUUUAUUUUUUUAACGUAAAAACUGAAAUUUAUUAAUAUAAUACUCUUUAAUUUUUCCAGAUAUAUAAAUCUGGUAAAAAUGAAAGAAAAAAUCAUAGAAAUAACUAUUAACAAUGGAUAUCUUGGUUUUU
rnacentral:misc_RNA from 1 species